AUACGAAGGGGGCUAGCGUUGUUCGGAAUUACUGGGCGUAAAGCGCACGUAGGCGGACAUUUAAGUCAGGGGUGAAAUCCCGGGGCUCAACCCUGGAACUGCCUUUGAUACUGGGUGUCUUGAGUACGAGAGAGGUGAGUGGAAUUCCGAGUGUAGAGGUGAAAUUCGUAGAUAUUCGGAGGAACACCAGUGGCGAAGGCGGCUUACUGGUCCAUUACUGACGCUGAGGUGCGAAAGCGUGGGGAGC
rnacentral:rRNA from 1 species